GUAGCAAUACUUUGGGUGGCGACCGGGCGCACGGGUGAGUAACGCGUAUGCAACCUACCGUACCAGAGGGGAAUAACCCGGCGAAAGUCGGACUAAUACCGCAUAAAACAGGGGCACCGCAUGGUGAUAUUUGUUAAAGAAAUUCGCUGAUAGAUGGGCAUGCGUUCCAUUAGGUAGUUGGUGAGGUAACGGCUCACCAAGCCGACGAUGGAUAGGGGAACUGAGAGGUUGGUCCCCCACACUGGUACUGAGACACGGACCAGACUCCUACGGGAGGCAGCAGUGAGGAAUAUUGGUCAAUGGGCGGGAGCCUGAACCAGCCAAGUCGCGUAGGAAGGAAGAAGGAUCUAUGGUUCGUAAACUUCUUUUGCAGGGGAAUAAAGUGCAGGACGUGUCCUGUUUUGUAUGUACCCUGAGAAUAAGGAUCGGCUAACUCCGUGCCAGCCGCCGC
rnacentral:rRNA from 1 species